UGCAUUCACAACUGUAAGUCGCUUUGGAUAAGAGCGUCAGCUAAAUGACUAAAA
rfam:Salmo salar isolate Sally breed double haploid chromosome ssa06, whole genome shotgun sequence.